rnacentral:rRNA from 1 species
UACGUAGGGUGCAAGCGUUAAUCGGAAUUACUGGGCGUAAAGCGCGCGCAGGCGGCUAUCCAAGUCAGUGGUGAAAGCCCGGAGCUCAACUCCGGAACUGCCAUUGAAACUGUUUAGCUUGAGGAUGAGAGAGGUGAGUGGAAUUCCCAGUGUAGAGGUGAAAUUCGUAGAUAUUCGGAAGAACACCAGUGGCGAAGGCGACUUACUGGACACAUAUUGACGCUGAGGUGCGAAAAGCGUGGGGAGCAAACAGG